rnacentral:rRNA from 1 species
AGUGAACGCUGGCGGUAGGCCUAACACAUACAAGUCGAACGGCAGCACAGUAAGAGCUUGCUCUUACGGGUGGCGAGUGGCGGACGGGUGAGGAAUACAUCGGAAUCUACUUUUUCGUGGGGGAUAACGUAGGGAAACUUACGCUAAUACCGCAUACGACCUACGGGUGAAAGCAGGGGAUCUUCGGACCUUGCGCGAUUGAAUGAGCCGAUGUCGGAUUAGCUAGUUGGCGGGGUAAAGGCUCACCAAGGCGACGAUCCGUAGCUGGUCUGAGAGGAUGAUCAGCCACACUGGAACUGAGACACGGUCCAGACUCCUACGGGAGGCAGCAGUGGGGAAUAUUGGACAAUGGGCGCAAGCCUGAUCCAGCCAUACCGCGUGGGUGAAGAAGGCCUUCGGGUUGUAAAGCCCUUUUGUUGGGAAAGAAAAGCAGCAGGUUAAUACCCCGCUGUUCUGACGGUACCCAAAGAAUAAGCACCGGCUAACUUCGUG